CCUACGGGAGGCAGCAGUGAGGAAUAUUGGUCAAUGGCCGCAGGGCUGAACCAGCCAAGUCGCGUGAGGGAUGACGGUCCUAUGGAUUGUAAACCUCUUUUGUCAGGGAGCAAAGGGCGCCACGUGUGGCGUUUUGCGAGUACCUGAAGAAAAAGCAUCGGCUAACUCCGUGCCAGCAGCCGCGGUAAUACGGGGGAUGCGAGCGUUAUCCGGAUCUAUUGGGUUAAAAGGGUGCGCAGGGGGAAUGGCAAGUCGGCGGUAAAAUUCCGGGGCUCAACCCGGUCGUGCCGUUGAAACUGGGGGGCUUGAGUGAGCGAGAAGUAGGCGGAAUGCGUGGUGUAGCGGUGAAAUGCAUAGAUAUCACGCAGAACUCCGAUGGCGAAGGCAGCAUACCGGAGCGCAACUGACGCUCAUGCACGAAAGCGUGGGUAUCGAACAGGAUUAGAUACCCGGGUAGUC
rnacentral:rRNA from 1 species